rfam:Clonorchis sinensis DNA, scaffold: 51, strain: Henan.
CUCACUUCUCGGCUCCCUGAGCUAAGAUCAUGUGUAGUAUCUGUUCUUUGUAGUCUAAUUUCCGCAACGGUCUCUUAAGUGAAACUGAUGAAAUUGCCUGUAUUCUUCUGUGAGACUGUGCUGUGAGAUUGCUCAACCCCGUCCACGGGUCAGUCUUGUAUUGCAUUAACUCGAGGAUUGGCCCAUUAUUC